CUACGGGUUGCUGCAGUGGGGAAUAUUGCACAAUGGGCGCAAGCCUGAUGCAGCCAUGCCGCGUGUAUGAAGAAGGCCUUCGGGUUGUAAAGUACUUUCAGCGGGGAGGAAGGGAGUAAAGUUAAUACCUUUGCUCAUUGACGUUACCCGCAGAAGAAGCACCGGCGAACUCCGUGCCAGCAGCCGCGGUAAUACGGAGGGUGCAAGCGUUAAUCGGAAUUACUGGGCGUAAAGCGCACGCAGGCGGUUUGUUAAGUCAGAUGUGAAAUCCCCGGGCUCAACCUGGGAACUGCAUCUGAUACUGGCAAGCUUGAGUCUCGUAGAGGGGGGUAGAAUUCCAGGUGUAGCGGUGAAAUGCGUAGAGACCUGGAGGAAUACCGGUGGCGAAGGCGGCCCCCUGGACGAAGACUGACGCUCAGGUGCGAAAGCGUGGGGAGCAAACAGGAUUAGAUACCCUCGUAGUC
rnacentral:rRNA from 1 species